GACCUCAGAUCGAGUGGGACUACCCGCUGAACUUAAGCAUAUCAAUAAGCGGAGGAAAAGAAACUAACAAGGAUUCCCCUAGUAACGGCGAGUGAAGAGGGAAAAGCUCAAAUUUUGAAUCUGGUGCCUUUGGCAUCCGAGUUGUAAUCUAGAGAAGUGUUUUCUGCCUUGGACCACACAUAAAUUCCCUGGAAUGGGGUGUCAUAGAGGGUGAGAAUCCCGUUUGUGGUGUGGACUACCUUGGCUCUGUGAUACACUCUCAACGAGUCGAGUUGUUUGGGAAUGCAGCUCAAAAUGGGUGGUAAAUUCCAUCUAAAGCUAAAUAUUGGCGAGAGACCGAUAGCGAACAAGUACCGUGAGGGAAAGAUGAAAAGCACUUUGGAAAGAGAGUGAAACAGUACGUGAAAUUGUUGAAAGGGAAGCGUUUGAAGUCAGUCACAUUGGUCAGAAUUCAGCCUGGCUUAUGCCUGGUGUACUUUCUGGCAAAUGGGUCAGCGUCAAUUUUGACCGAGGGAGAAAGACUUGAGGAAGGUGGCUGUCUUUGGGCAGUGUUAUAGCCUCUUGUUGUAAUGCUCGGUUGGGACUGAGGAUCGCAGCACGCCUUAUGGCCCGGGGUUCGCGCCCUCGGUA
rnacentral:rRNA from 1 species